AUUUCUCUGAGAUGUUUGCAAGCGGGCCAGUCCCCUGAGCCGAUAUUUCAUACCACAAGAAUGUGGCGCUCCACGGUCGGUGAGCAUGCUCGGUUCGUCCGAGAAGCCUUAAGACUUUGACGACACAUUCACCUUGAACCAAGGGUUCAAGGGUUACAGCCUGCGGCGGCAUCUCGGAGAUUCC
rfam:Pluralibacter gergoviae strain JS81F13 contig_19, whole genome shotgun sequence.